CAAGAUAGAGCUUGAAAUAAGCAGCUCGUUUACACCGAGAAGACUACCUGUUAGAUAGGUUAUCUUGA
rnacentral:tRNA from 1 species